CCGGUAAUAAACCGGAGGAAGGUGGGGAUGACGUCAAAUCAUCAUGCCCUUAUGACCUGGGCUACACACGUGCUACAAUGGUUGGUACAACGAGUUGCGAGUCGGUGACGGCGAGCUAAUCUCUUAAAGCCAAUCUCAGGUUCGGAUUGUAGGCUGCAACUCGCCUACAUGAAGUCGGAAUCGCUAGUAAUCGCGGAUCAGCACGCCGCGGUGAAUACGUUCCCGGGCCUU
rnacentral:rRNA from 1 species